rnacentral:rRNA from 1 species
UGGGGAAUAUUGCACAAUGGGGGAAACCCUGAUGCAGCGACGCCGCGUGAACGAAGAAGGUAUUCGUAUCGUAAAGUUCUGUCCUAUGGGAAGAUAAUGACAGUACCAUAGAAGAAAGCUCCGGCUAAAUACGUGCCAGCAGCCGCGGUAAUACGUAUGGAGCGAGCGUUGUCCGGAAUUAUUGGGCGUAAAGGGUACGCAGGCGGUUUAAUAAGUCGAAUGUUAAAGAUCGGGGCUCAACCCCGCAAAGCAUUGGAAACUGAUAAACAUGCGUAGUGGAGAGGAAAGUGGAAUUCCUAGUGUAGUGGUGAAAUACGUAGAUAUUAGGAGGAAUACCAGUAGCGAAGGCGACUUUCUGGACACAAACUGACGCUGAGGUACGAAAGCGUGGGGAGCAAACAGG